CACGUAGGGGCCAAGCGUUGUCCGGAUUUAUUGGGCGUAAAGAGCUCGUAGGCGGCUCGGUAAGUCGGGUGUGAAACCUCCAGGCUCAACCUGGAGACGCCACCCGAUACUGCUGUGGCUAGAGUCCGGUAGGGGAGCGUGGAAUUCCUGGUGUAGCGGUGAAAUGCGCAGAUAUCUGGAGGAACACCGGUGGCGAAGGCGGCAUCCUGGACCAACACUGACGCUGAGGAGCGAAAGCCAGGGGAGCAAACGGG
rnacentral:rRNA from 1 species